UACGGGGGGGGGAAGCGUUGUUCGGAAUUACUGGGCGUAAAGGGCUCGUAGGCGGCCAACUAAGUCAUACGUGAAAUCCCUCGGCUUAACCGGGGAACUGCGUCUGAUACUGGAUGGCUUGAGUUCGGGAGAGGGAUGCGGAAUUCCAGGUGUAGCGGUGAAAUGCGUAGAUAUCUGGAGGAACACCGGUGGCGAAGGCGGCAUCCUGGACCGACACUGACACUGAGGAGCGAAAGCCAGGGGAGCAAACGGG
rnacentral:rRNA from 1 species